GUUGAACGCUGGCGGAAUGCUUUACACAUGCAAGUCGAACGGUAGAGGGGGCAGCCCCUCGAGAGUGGCGAACGGGUGAGUAAUAUAUCGGAACGUGCCCAGUCGUGGGGGAUAACGUAGCGAAAGUUACGCUAAUACCGCAUACGAUCUAAGGAUGAAAGCGGGGGAUCGCAAGACCUCGCGCGAUUGGAGCGGCCGAUAUCAGAUUAGGUAGUUGGUGGGGUAAAGGCUCACCAAGCCAACGAUCUGUAGCUGGUCUGAGAGGACUACCAGCCACACUGGAACUGAGACACGGUCCAGACUCCUACGGGAGGCAGCAGUGGGGAAUUUUGGACAAUGGACGCAAGUCUGAUCCAGCCAUACCGCGUGCAGGAUGAAGGCCCUCGGGUUGUAAACUGCUUUUGUACGGAACGAAAAGGUCUCUCUUAAUACGGGGGACUCAUGACGGUACCGUAAGAAUAAGCACCGGCUAACUACGUGCCAGCCGCCGCGGUAACAC
rnacentral:rRNA from 1 species